AUUGAACGCUGGCGGCAGGCCUAACACAUGCAAGUCGAGCGAGCGGCGGACGGGUGAGUAAUGUCUGGGAAACUGCCUGAUGGAGGGGGAUAACUACUGGAAACGGUAGCUAAUACCGCAUACGCUCAGAUGUGCCCAGAUGGGAGUAGCUAGUAGGUGGGGUAAAGGCUCACAUAGGCGACGAGCCCUAGCUGGUCGGAGAGGGUGACCAGCCAAACUGGAACUGAGACACGGUCCAGACUCCGACGGGAGGCAGCAGUGGGGAAUAUUGCACAAUGGGGGCAAGCCUGAUGCAGCCAUGCCGCGUGUGUGAAGAAGGCCUUCGGGUUGUAAAGCACUUUCAGCGGGGAGGCGUUACCCGCAGAAGAAGCACCGGCUAACUCCGUGCCAGCAGCCGCGGUAAUAC
rnacentral:rRNA from 1 species